UACGUAGGGGGCAAGCGUUGUUCGGAAUUACUGGGCGUAAAGGGCCAGUAGGCGGCCAACUAAGUCCGAUGUGAAAUCCCCAAGCUUAACUUGGGAACUGCGUCGGAUACUGGAUGGCUUGAAUUCGGGAGAGGGAUGCAGAAUUCCAGGUGUAGCGGUGAAAUGCGUAGAUAUCUGGAGGAACACCGGUGGCGAAGGCGGCAUUCUGGACCGAUAUUGACGCUGAGGAGCGAAAGCCAGGGGAGCAAACGGG
rnacentral:rRNA from 1 species